rnacentral:rRNA from 1 species
ACGCACGCUGGCGGCGUGCUUCACACCUGCAAGUCGAACGGGCCUUGUCCCCUUUUUUUUUGGGGGUGGGGUUAGUGGCGAACGGGUGAGUAACACGUGAGUAACCUGCCCCUCACUUCUGGAUAACCGCUUGAAAGGGUGGCUAAUACGGGGUGUUCUGGCCUGCUCGCAUGGGUGGGUUUGGAAAGAUUCGACCGGUUUUGGUUGUUUUGGUGGGGGAUGGGCUCGCGGCCUAUCAGCUUGUUGGUGGGGUGAUGGCCUGCCAAGGCUUUGACGGGUAGCCGGCCUGAGAGGGUGGGCGGUCACACUGGGACUGAGACACGGCCCAGACUCCUACGGGAGGCAGCAGUGGGGAAUAUUGCACAAGGGGCGCAAGCCUGAUGCAGCGACGCCGCGUGAGGGAUGGAGGCCUUCGGGUUGUGAACCUCUUUCGCCAGUGAAGAAGGUCCUGCUCUUUGUGGUGGGGUUGACGGUAGCUGGGUUAAUGAAGCGCCGGCUAACUACGUG